GGUGUAGGCUUUCGCUCAUCAUCUGGUUGUGAAAUGUGAAUUUAUAUCAUAUCACAGCCAGCUUUGAUGAGCGCAAGAGUGCACU